rnacentral:rRNA from 1 species
AUACGUAGGGGGCGAGCGUUGUCCGGAAUGAUUGGGCGUAAAGGGCGCGUAGGCGGCCCGGUAAGUCUGGAGUGAAAGUCCUGUUUUUAAGAUGGGAAUUGCUUUGGAUACUGUCGGGCUUGAGUGCAGGAGAGGUAAGUGGAAUUCCCAGUGUAGCGGUGAAAUGCGUAGAGAUCGGGAGGAACACCAGUGGCGAAGGCGGGUAACUGGACUGCAACUGACGCUGAGGCGCGAAAGUGUGGGGAGCAAACAGGAUUAGAUACCCUGGUAGUCCACACUGUAAACGAUGAAUGCUAGGUGUAAGAGGUAUCGACCCCUUUUGUGCCGGAGUCAACACAAUAAGCAUUCCGCCUGGGGAGUACGGCCGCAAGGUUGAAACUCAAAGGAAUUGACGGGG